CACCUUUAGAAACGAGCCAUCUACAUUUCCCACGAUAUCCAGAAUUCAUAGCGAUUUCAGGACGUAGUACCGCAUCAGUUGACGUGGAGAAAUAUCAAAAUGUCUGCGUUUGUAGCCAGCACUUCCAGACAGAGGAUUUUGAAACUGGUUGCCAGGUGAUGCUAUUCCAUACGUUUUCCACCUCACUUCCAAGACGAAGGCAUCCAAUCAGCCAACAUCAGCACUGCAGAAAAUAAAUCAAGCUGAGAGUCCCAUCCCAUCAACAUCUGCCACGGCAUCAACAUCAGGCUCAGCACCAGGAACUACUACUAAUCUCGCUGCUGAUAACAAGGACCUUGACACCAGCUUUGGUAGUACAGAGCCUGCACUAUUUGGAUGAAAGCUUUCAGCCGGGGAACAAGCUCAAGCUCAACAUCAUCUGACUCUGAAACAAACCAGGACAGCCACUGGAGACUCGCAGUACUAACAAAUCUUCUGCAAGAGGUCAAAACAGUGGGGGUGGGUGAAGAAAGUGUACAAGCCUAGAACCCACCUCUUCAUUCAGGGAGAGGCUUGUCCACCUGGUUGUGGAGUGCAGAAAGGACCAGACGGUUGUCGACAAGGAACCAGAGUCACAGCUCCCUAAACCUAACAUCUCUGCCAACAUCACCACAGCACCAAAGCCCGCUAAACCAGCUGCCAUUAUCCAACAGAAGAAGGAGGUGCACCAGCUGAAGAGCAUUCUGGAACCUGCCUGGAACAUUCAGAGUUAUUGUAGUAUAAUAUAGAAUACCUAGUAUGCUCACAACUGCAUUGUGGUAUAGAUAUGGCUAGUUCUAAUGGUGUUUUAUAUAAUAUGUUGUAUAAGUGUACUGACAAGUGACCAAAUGAUUCCAGCUGCAUAAGAAACCAAUAAAGUGUCGACUUGAA